rnacentral:rRNA from 1 species
GUCCCUGGCCAUACCAACCCUGAAUGUGCCCAGGCUCAAUCUUGGAAGCUAGGCAGGCUCGGGCCUGGCUAGUACUUAGAUGGGAGACGCAACUUAAGGAACACUUUGUUUUAGCUCCUGGUUUCAGAGAGA